rnacentral:rRNA from 1 species
UACGUAGGGUGCAAGCGUUAAUCGGAAUUACUGGGCGUAAAGCGUGCGCAGGCGGUGAUGUAAGACAGAUGUGAGAUCCCCGGGCUCAACCUGGGAACUGCAUUUGUGACUGCAUCGCUGGAGUGCGGCAGAGGGGAUGGAAUUCCGCGUGUAGCAGUGAAAUGCGUAGAUAUGCGGAGGAACACCGAUGGCGAAGGCAAUCCCCUGGGCCUGCACUGACGCUCAUGCACGAAAGCGUGGGAGCAACAGG